rnacentral:rRNA from 1 species
UACGUAGGGGGCAAGCGUUGUCCGGAGUUACUGGGCGUAAAGGGCACGCAGGCGGUCGUGCAAGUUCGGGGUGACAAUCACCGGCUUAACUGGUGAAGGGCCUUGAAAACUGCAGGACUUGAGGGCUUCAGAGGGACAUGGAACUCCGGGUGGAGUGGUGAAAUGCGUAGAGAUCCGGAAGAACACCAAAGGCGAAGGCAAUGUCCUGGGAAGUACCUGACGCUCAGGUGCGAAAGCCAGGGGAG